GGGAGUCAUGUGGUCGUCAGAGUGGAAGCAGGAGUGAGAGGGUCCAGCAGAAGAAAACAUGGCUGCCAAAGUGUUUGAGUCCAUUGGCAAGUUUGGUCUGGCCUUAGCUGUUACAGGAGGCGUGGUGAACUCUGCCUCAUAUAAUGUGGAUGCUUGGCACAGAGCUGUCAUCUUGGACCAGUUCCAUGGAGUACAGGACAUUGUGGUAGGGAAAGGGACUCACUUUCUCAUCCCAUGGAUACAGAAACCAAUUAUCUUUGACUGCCGUUCUCGACCACGUCAUGUGCCAGUCAUCACUGGUAGCAAAGAUUUACAGAAUGUCAACUUCACACUGCGCAUCCUCUUCCCGCCAGUCACUAGCCAGCUUCCUCGCAUCUUCACCAGCAUCGGAGAGGACUAUGAUGAGCGUGUGCUGCCGUCCAUCACGACCGAGAUCUUCAAGUCAGUGGUGGCUCGCUUUGAUGCUGGAGAACUCAUCACCCAGAGAGAGCUGGUCUCCAGGCAGGUGAGCGACGAUCUUACAGAGUGAGCAGCCACCUUUGGGCUCAUCCUGGAUGACAUGUCCUUGACACAUCUACCUUCGGGAAGGAGUUCACAGAAGCGGUGGAAGCCAAACAGGUGGCUCAGCAGGAAGCAGAGAGGGCCAGAUUUGUGGUGGAAAAGGCUGAGCAGCAGAAAAAGGCAGCCAUCAUCCUUGCUGAGGGCGACUCCAAGGCAGCUGAGCUGAUUGCCAACUC